AGAGUUUGAUCAUGGCUCAGGACGAACGCUGGCGGCGUGCUUAACACAUGCAAGUCGAACGGAACGCCUUGGAAAGAGAUUUCGGUCAAUGGAAGGGGUUGUUUAGUGGCGGACGGGUGAGUAACGCGUGAGGAACCUGCCUUUCAGAGGGGGACAACAGUUGGAAACGACUGCUAAUACCGCAUAAUGCAUAGGUAUCGCAUGGUACAGAUGCCAAAGAUUUAUCGCUGAGAGAUGGCCUCGCGUCUGAUUAGCUAGUUGGUAGGGUAACGGCCUACCAAGGCGACGAUCAGUAGCCGGACUGAGAGGUUGGCCGGCCACAUUGGGACUGAGAUACGGCCCAGACUCCUACGGGAGGCAGCAGUGGGGAAUAUUGGGCAAUGGGCGCAAGCCUGACCCAGCAACGCCGCGUGAAGGAAGAAGGCUUUCGGGUUGUAAACUUCUUUUAACAGGGAAGAGCAGAAGACGGUACCUGUUGAAUAAGCCACGGCUAACUACGUGCCAGCAGCCGCGGUAAUACGUAGGUGGCAAGCGUUGUCCGGAUUUACUGGGUGUAAAGGGCGUGC
rnacentral:rRNA from 1 species